UAGGGACCGUACACGUGCAUUACUAACUUGCGGAUGCGUACUAAGUUUUUCCUUGCAAGCUAUUAGCUUUUCCUUAUAUUCACGUUACGAAAUGGCAUUAGGUGUUGGCCAGAAAAUUACAAUUGGGUGGUAGGAUCAUAUCCAUUGGCGUGGGAUUAUACAGCUUUCAACUAUCAAAAAAUUAUAUAAAUAAACAGCGAUACAAAGAAAUGAAACUUAGAGAUAAGUUGAAAGAGGAAUACAAGUUACAGUAAAAUAACAAAUAUUAAGGGAAUUAUUUUUUUUUAGUUGUACUACAUAAUAAU